rnacentral:rRNA from 1 species
UACGAAAGGGGUUAGCGUUGUUCGGAAUUACUGGGCGUAAAGCGCACGUAGGCGGCCUUGUAAGUUGGGGGUGAAAUCCCGGAGCUCAACUCCGGAACUGCCUCCAAAACUACAAAGCUAGAGGAUGUGAGAGGAUAGUGGAAUUCCGAGUGUAGAGGUGAAAUUCGUAGAUAUUCGGAAGAACACCAGUGGCGAAGGCGACUGUCUGGCACAUUUCUGACGCUGAGGUGCGAAAGCGUGGGGAGCAAACAGGAUUAGAUACCCGGGUAGUCC